GAUGAACGCUUGCGGCAGGCUUAAUACAUGCAAGUCGAACGGUAACAGGGUCUUCGGACUGCUGACGAGUGGCGGAUGGGUGAGUAACGCGUAUGCAACCUUCCUCACACCGAGAAAAAGUCGACUGAAAAGUUGAAUAAAGUCUCGUGAUGUGCACGUUUCGCAUGAGAUGUGUAUGAUAGAAGCAAUUUGGUGUGAGAUGGGCAUGCGUAUCAUUAGCUAGUUGGUAGGGUAACGGCUUACCAAGGCGACGAUGAUUAGGGGGCCUGAGAGGGUGGUCCCCCACACUGGGACUGAGACACGGCCCAGACUCCUACGGGAGGCAGCAGUAGGGAAUAUUGGUCAAUGGGCGGAAGCCUGAACCAGCCAUGCCGCGUGAUGGAUGACGGCCUUAGGGUUGUAAACAUCUUUUCUGCUAGAGGAAUAGAGUUCACGCGUGGACAGACGACUGGAUAGCAGAAUAAGAUCG
rnacentral:rRNA from 1 species